UCUCACCAACUUGAUCGUUAGAGUGUAAUCGAUAGGUGGAGUUCCUCUCACUAUGAAUUAUUAGCAUCUCAAAGCAGCAACAACAAAAAAGAAAAGUCAACCCAAAGUCCACCAAUAAGGUCCGAUCCAGGUCAGCCGGCGAGAACAUUUGACAUCCACCGUGGGACCUAGUAAAAGCUGAAACUGAUCCCACCUACAUUUAUAGUUGAG
rnacentral:lncRNA from 1 species